rnacentral:misc_RNA from 1 species
CGACCGGCUCCUUGAUCACGAUCUGCUGCACCGCUCCGGACCGCGAAGGGAUAACACGGCCGUAGGAUCGGCGAGCCUCUUCGGCAAACCAGUCGAUGAUAUCCGCGCCAAGCAGCACUUCUAGCUUCGCUUCUGCCAGUGGUUUUCCCUGUUCAAGCGUGAGAAUGCGAGCGAUUUCGCCGGCCCGCUCGCGCAACUUCUCCCCGGCCAUCCGCAUAAGCUUGUAGCGGUCGAAUGCCGAUGUCUUG